UAUAGCAUAGCAUUAAUGCAUCAGAUCCCAUUAGAACUCUGAAGUUAAGUGUGCUCAUGCUAGAGUAGUAGUGGGAUGGGGAUCGUCUAGGAAGUCCUAGUGUUUUAC
rnacentral:rRNA from 1 species